rnacentral:rRNA from 1 species
AGAGAGAGACAUGCGCGCAUAUCAAUAAGCGGAGGAAAAGAAACUAACAAGGAUUCCCCUAGUAACGGCGAGUGAAGCGGGAAGAGCUCAAAUUUGAAAUCUUAAAGGGUUUCCCUUUACGAAUUGUAGUUUAAAGAAGUGUUUUCUGUUGAGGUUUUGGUAAAAGUUCUUUGGAAUAGGACAUCAUAGAGGGUGAGAAUCCCGUAUUUGACCUUUACUUUCAACUUUGUGAUACACUUUCAAAGAGUCGGAUUGUUUGGGAAUGCAGUCCAAAAUGGGUGGUAAAUUUCAUCUAAAGCUAAAUAUUGGCGAGAGACCGAUAGCGAACAAGUACCGUGAGGGAAAGAUGAAAAGAACUUUGAAAAGAGAGUUAAACAGUACGUGAAAGUUGUCAAAAGGGAAGCGUUUGACACCAGUGUUGUUUUUCUGAAAAUCAAUUAAAGAACUGUUUAUGCUAAGCUGUUUAGACUUUAUCAGCUAACUGUUUAGUUUUGAGCUUUUCUUUAAUGCACUUUUCAGUUAACAAGUCAACAUCAAUUUCUUUUGCUGUAAAAAAGCUUGAGGAAGGUGGCUUGAGAUUCGUCUUAAGUGUUUAUAGCCUCUUGCCUAUGCAGUCGGAGAGAUUGAGGUCUGCAGGCGUAGAUCCUUCGGGGCUAAAUGCAUUUGUGCUAAGUUAUAGCAUUUUAUAGACAACUUGUUGACUAUGAUUUGUCUUGUAGCUUACUCGCUUAUGUUAUUUUACCUACGCUUAGGAUGUUGAGCGCAUGUCUCUCUCU